CGAAUGCUGACAUAAGUAACGAUAAAGCGGGUGAAAAGCCCGCUCGCCGGAAGACCAAGGGUUCCUGUCCAACGUUAAUCGGGGCAGGGUGAGUCGACCCCUAAGGCGAGGCCGAAAGGCGUAGUCGAUGGGAAACAGGUUAAUAUUCCUGUACUUGGUGUUACUGCGAAGGGGGGACGGAGAAGGCUAUGUUGGCCGGGCGACGGUUGUCCCGGUUUAAGCGUGUAGGCUGGUUUUCCAGGCAAAUCCGGAAAAUCAAGGCUGAGGCGUGAUGACGAGGCACUACGGUGCUGAAGCAACAAAUGCCCUGCUUCCAGGAAAAGCCUCUAAGCAUCAGGUAACAUCAAAUCGUACCCCAAACCGACACAGGUGGUCAGGUAGAGAAUACCAAGGCGCUUGAGAGAACUCGGGUGAAGGAACUAGGCAAAAUGGUGCCGUAACUUCGGGAGAAGGCACGCUGAUAUGUAGGUGAAGUCCCUCGCGGAUGGAGCUGAAAUCAGUCGAAGAUACCAGCUGGCUGCAACUGUUUAUUAAAAACACAGCACUGUGCAAACACGAAAGUGGACGUAUACGGUGUGACGCCUGCCCGGUGCCGGAAGGUUAAUUGAUGGGGUCAGCGCAAGCGAAGCUCUUGAUCGAAGCCCCGGUAAACGGCGGCCGUAACUAUAACGGUCCUAAGGUAGCGAAAUUCCUUGUCGGGUAAGUUCCGACCUGCACGAAUGGCGUAAUGAUGGCCAGGCUGUCUCCACCCGAGACUCAGUGAAAUUGAACUCGCUGUGAAGAUGCAGUGUACCCGCGGCAAGACGGAAAGACCCCGUGAACCUUUACUAUAGCUUGACACUGAACAUUGAGCCUUGAUGUGUAGGAUAGGUGGGAGGCUUUGAAGUGUGGACGCCAGUCUGCAUGGAGCCGACCUUGAAAUACCACCCUUUAAUGUUUGAUGUUCUAACGUUGACCCGUGAUCCGGGUUGCGGACAGUGUCUGGUGGGUAGUUUGACUGGGGCGGUCUCCUCCUAAAGAGUAACGGAGGAGCACGAAGGUUGGCUAAUCCUGGUCGGACAUCAGGAGGUUAGUGCAAUGGCAUAAGCCAGCUUGACUGCGAGCGUGACGGCGCGAGCAGGUGCGAAAGCAGGUCAUAGUGAUCCGGUGGUUCUGAAUGGAAGGGCCAUCGCUCAACGGAUAAAAGGUACUCCGGGGAUAACAGGCUGAUACCGCCCAAGAGUUCAUAUCGACGGCGGUGUUUGGCACCUCGAUGUCGGCUCAUCACAUCCUGGGGCUGAAGUAGGUCCCAAGGGUAUGGCUGUUCGCCAUUUAAAGUGGUACGCGAGCUGGGUUUAGAACGUCGUGAGACAGUUCGGUCCCUAUCUGCCGUGGGCGCUGGAGAACUGAGGGGGGCUGCUCCUAGUACGAGAGGACCGGAGUGGACGCAUCACUGGUGUUCGGGUUGUCAUGCCAAUGGCACUGCCCGGUAGCUAAAUGCGGAAGAGAUAAGUGCUGAAAGCAUCUAAGCACGAAACUUGCCCCGAGAUGAGUUC
rnacentral:rRNA from 1 species